rnacentral:rRNA from 1 species
CCUUACCCCCAUCCUAUACUGUUAGUCGACGCGCAGCGAGAGGUGCUUGCACCUUUCAAGCGAGUGGCGAACGGGUGAGUAACACGUGGAUAACCUGCCUCAAGGCUGGGGAUAACAUUUGGAAACAGAUGCUAAUACCGAAUAAAACUUAGUAUCGCAUGAUAUAAAGUUAAAAGGCGCUACGGCGUCACCUAGAGAUGGAUCCGCGGUGCAUUAGUUAGUUGGUGGGGUAAAGGCUUACCAAGACAAUGAUGCAUAGCCGAGUUGAGAGACUGAUCGGCCACAUUGGGACUGAGACACGGCCCAAACUCCUACGGGAGGCUGCAGUAGGGAAUCUUCCACAAUGGGCGCAAGCCUGAUGGAGCAACGCCGCGUGUGUGAUGAAGGCUUUCGGGUCGUAAAGCACUGUUGUAUGGGAAGAAAUGCUAAAAUAGGGAAUGAUUUUAGUUUGACGGUACCAUACCAGAAAGGGACGGCUAAAUACGUGCCAGCAGCCGCGGUAAUACGUAUGUCCCGAGCGUUAUCCGGAUUUAUUGGGCGUUAAUGCGGGCGCAGACGGUUGAUAAGUCUGAUGUGAAGCUGAGCUCACUCCGAUGCCAUGGAACUGUACUUGAGUGUGUAGAGGUAAGUGGAACUCCAUGUGUAGCGUGGAAUGCGUAGAUAUAUGGGAAGAACACCAGUGGCGAAGGCGGGCUUACUGGACAACAAACUGACGUUGAGGCUCGAAAGUGUGGGUAGCAAACAGGAUUAGAUACCUGGUAGUCCACACCGUAAACGAUGAAUACUAGGUGUUAGGAGGUUUCCGCCUCUUAGUGCCGAAGCUAACGCAUUAAGUAUUCCGCCUGGGGAGUACGACCGCAAGGUUGAAACUCAAAGGAAUUGACGGGGACCCGCACAAGCGGUGGAGCAUGUGGUUUAAUUCGAAGCAACGCGAAGAACCUUACCAGGUCUUGACAUCCUUUGAAGCUUUUAGAGAUAGAAGUGUUCUCUUCGGAGACAAAGUGACAGGUGGUGCAUGGUCGUCGUCAGCUCGUGUCGUGAGAUGUUGGGUUAAGUCCCGCAACGAGCGCAACCCUUAUUGUUAGUUGCCAGCAUUCAGUUGGGCACUCUAGCGAGACUGCCGGUGACAAACCGGAGGAAGGCGGGGACGACGUCAGAUCAUCAUGCCCCUUAUGACCUGGGCUACACACGUGCUACAAUGGCGUAUACAACGAGUUGCCAACCUGCGAAGGUGAGCUAAUCUCUUAAAGUACGUCUCAGUUCGGACUGCAGUCUGCAACUCGACUGCACGAAGUCGGAAUCGCUAGUAAUCGCGGAUCAGCACGCCGCGGUGAAUACGUUCCCGGGUCUUGUACACACCGCCCGUCACACCAUGGGAGUUUGUAAUGCCCAAAGCCGGUGGCCUAACCUUCGGGAGGGAGCCGUCUAAGGCAGGACAGAUGACUGGGGUGUAGUACGUAUACGAGUGGAUUGC